rnacentral:tRNA from 1 species
GCCUGGGUGGCUCAGUCGGUUGAGCGUCCGACUUCGGCUCAGGUCAUGAUCUCAUGUCCGUGGGUUCAAGCCCCACGUAGGGCU